CUGUACUUCCGCGCGCCUCUACAUUUGAACUUGGCGCGCGCGCCCAACCUCUAACCUUCCUUUCAACAGCUACACUACUCCCUUCACUGCUCCCCUCCCCUUCCGGGAGGAUGGCUUGCUCCGACCUCCCUCCUUUCUCUGCUGCCGGAGCCGCUUCCCCUGACACACUGAAACCUCCACCCCCUUCGCUGCACUCUGGCGGGGAGACUGGUCCUGACACCCAGCUGCCACUUUGGGAUGCCCAGCUGGCACCCUGCUCCUGACACGUCCCCCCUGGGGCUCCCCUGGGCUUGACCACCGGCGCCCCCUUCUGGGAAUCCUCUGAUUCGCUGGAAAGACUCAUGGAAUCUCUUGAGUCAUUGUCAUCCUCUUCCUCGCUGUCCUGGGAUUCAUCCCCAUCGCUCUCCAUCUCCUGCCUACCCUGUGCCUCUGUCCCUGAACCCCUGACACAUUCAUUCUAAAAUUAAUUCAAAAUCCAAUUAAUGGCAACCAUUGGGCUAGAGUUCUAUGAGGAUUACCAAAGGAGGGAGUCAAGCUGUGCCUUGGCCAAAGGCCUGGUGGAACAGCUCUGUCUUGCAGGCCCUGGGGAAAGAUGUCAAGUCCCGCAGGGCCCUAGUCCCUUGUGACGGAGCGUUCCACCAGAUUGGGGCCACGGCCGAAAAAGCCCUGGCUCUGGUUGAAGCCAGCCUAACCUCCCUAUGGCCCAGGACCUCCAAGAUGUUUUCGUUUGAAGACCAUAAGGUCCUCCGUGGGACAUACCAGGAGAGGCAGUCCCGUAGGUACGAGGGUCCUAGGCCCAAUAGGGCUUUAAAGGUUAAAACCCGCACUUAAAACCUGAUCCUGUACUCCACCGGGAGCCAGUGCAGCUGGUACAGCACCGGGUGAAUGUGAUCCCGCAGCGAGGACCCCGUAAGGAGUCUCGCUGCGGCAUUCUGCACCCGCUGGAGUUUCCGGGUCAGUCUGAAGGGCAGCCCCACGUAGAGUGAGUCACAAUAAUCAAGUCUGGAGGUGACUGUUGCGUGGAUCACAGUGGCUAGGUCAGGGCGAGAGAGGCAAGGAGCCAACUGCUUAGCUUGGCAGAGAUGGAAAAAUGCCGCCUUUGUUAUAGCUAGAAGAUAUAGCUAUAUCUAGAAGGAAAACUCAUCCUCAACCUCCCCUGCCUUGUGGGAUAUCUUCAGGAGAAAAGGCUAAGGAGUAAACCCUAUAAGAAUCAAGAGUGGAGUCCCUAAGACGGUUGGAUUGCACCUUGUACGCCUCAUUCCGUCUACUCCUGCAGCCAAGCUGGUGCCAAACAUAUCACUCUGCUUUCCUUUGGACCACAUCAGCGAGGCCAAGAGGGUGGUCUUACCAUCUGGGCAGCCCAGGACCUCCAGGCUUGUGCCUUGGGGAGCUGCCUAAUGCAGCGAUUUCAUCAUCAUCAUCAAACCUUUUAUUGGCAUCACAUACAAACAUCCCAAACAAAUCAAUACAGAAUUACCACUUCCCCAGUGGCACAAAACAUUUGCUAAAAGAAAGGAGGCAGAGCAGUCUUAUCAUCACAUCUCUUGGUCUCCAGGGAGAUCAGACGUCGGCAGUGUAUUUCAACGACAAAAAACCAAAUAGAGAUAUUUAGCCACUAACUUGGUGAGCUCCUGAUCAUUCCCCAGUAAUAGAAAAUGUAUGACCUCCGACUCUGGUUUCCAUUUGGGGAUACUGUACAGAGUUGAUCUAGAAAUUGCUGACGGAGAUCAGCAUAUAGUUUACAAUUGAGAACCAUAGGUGUAAGGGUUUCCACCAGGUGGUCUUCACAUGGACAAGUUCUUUCUCCUUCCACCCUGCCUGAGAACCUUCCCCAAAGGAGGUUGGAUGGAUUUGAAUUAAACCUGGCCAGCGAAAAUGCCCUCUUUCUUGAGGGUUAAGCAGAAGUUCAAGGUAAUUAUGGUUAGUUUCAUGUGCCCAAGAAAGUUGAAAAUAAAGAGGGGAGCAUGUUUUCUCUGCUGCUACUGUUAGUUCC
rnacentral:lncRNA from 1 species